CCCUCAGCCCGCUCGCAGCCCCGUGCUGCCCCUCACAGCCCGUCGGAGGUGCGCGCCGCCCCUCGCGGCUCCGUGCCGCCCUCAAAGCCAUUCACAAUCUCUCGCAGCCCCGACGGAACGACCCCCGGGGCCCCCGGUGAAGCACAAGGCGGCUUUGUGCUCCCGGACGGGGCGUUGUGCAGCGGCCGUUCCCCUGCAGGUGAUGGGGAGCACCGGGAGGGCUGAGGUAGCGCGCGGCUGAGUGGCACGUGGCGAGUCGGGCCCGGCGGGAGCCGCUCCGUCCUUCUUGUAACGUAUUUUCCUUCAUGGAGAACUUACUCAUGAGGCUGAAAUUUCUGAUAUGGGAGGAGAAGAGGAGAGAGGCUGGUUUGGAGCAGAGGACCAGAGGGAUAUCAUGUCCGUGCUGGCUUUUCUCUGCAUCUGUCUGUGUUGCACUGUUGCUGUCAGUAAGCACAAGCUGGAAAUCACCUACAGAUUGUUUUAAUUUGCACCAAGGACAAAAACAUCCAUCCUCUAUUGAGCGGAGUGCUCCUAGUUUCCAGUUCUACAUUACUUCGUCAGCAGGAUCACAGCUGGGCCUAAAAGGUAAGCGUGAACCUUUUAACCAUUCAAUUUAGAAUGAAUUCAUUAAACUAAUGUACACUGUUUGUUUUGCAUCUCAAAUUGGACUAUGGAUUUAAUACUUCAAGUGGUAACAUCAUUCAACUGUUAUAGCAGUGUUGGGUGGUAUUUGCUAGUUCUUCUGUCCUGACUGUGGGUUGUGAAUCUCUCAGAAGAAAUUAGUAGUUUUCAAGUGUGAAGAAAAAGAAGGAUAGAACUUGCUUGGGCAGUCCAACAAGCAGUCUUCAUCCUGCUUUUAACUUGUAGGGACUAAGCAGUGUAAGGGACCAUCCCUAGUCCCUUCCCUGAACUUUCAACUGUGCUCAGCAUAAACUACAGAGAAGAUAUUCUGUCCUGAUACCCUUUUCUUGAAAGGUUGGCCACUGAGCUUGCUGAGUGAAGUCCUCCCCUUGAGUUGCUAAGAAGUUUUCUUCAGGACGGUGUUCUGAGUAUGCUUUUUAAUGACAAGCUGGAUUAAUUCCAAGGAAGCUCCUCUAUGCUGUUGCCUAAUUAAUAAUGCAUCUCUUCUCUUUAAAAAAAAUAAAUAAGAAAUCAAUGCAUAUUUAACUGAUAGCUGAAGUAGCCUCAAAAGCACCAUUUCAGUCCAUGAGCUGCAUAAUACAUGUUUUGUUGCUCUGGAAAUCCUAACUAGAGCAAAAGUUCUACAUGUGAGUUUGCAUUAUAAUUCUAAAGGACUUAGAGGGUUAUUUUGUGACAUUUUUCUUCUUGGAGAGAUUGGGAUACUGCACUUUGUGUUUUCUAUCCAGCAAGUUAAGUGAACUAGCAGAGGUAAUAACCUCCUUCUUUCCCUUUCUGAAAGAGAUUUGUAACCAAGAUGAAACCUGCAGCAGUGCAUUUAAGUUGUAAAGCUGCUAUCCAGCAUUACCUCAUCCUUAAACGGCUGUUAGCGAUCAAGCUGCUCUGGAAAGCAGUUUACAUGACUGUUCCCUUCUGUUGAGCAAUGCAGGGCAAAGUAAGGUGUUAAACUGGGAUUCGGGAGAGAAUUUCAUCUACCACUGUCACUGUGCAACCCUGGUCAAUGCUUUUCACUGCAGUUUCUCAUAAUGAGAUAAGAACUGAGAUUUUUAGCAUGAACUUUUGUCAUUGUAAGUUCAGCUGAUCACUGUAAUAGCUACUGGCACCUUGUUUUGCAACACUUUAUUUGCAGAGAGAAGAGAAGCUGGUUAUUGCAGAGCUCGAAUAGUUGUGAAAUGUCAGGUCUUUCUUGAUUCAUUUCUCUCAGCGUAGGUGAUUGAGAUGGUGAAUCCUACAGGGAGCAUCCCAGUGAGAGUUCUCUCUUGUUUGUUGUUCAUGUGUAUUUAUUAUUAUUUCAUAAUGAAACCUCAGGAGUUAGCUGUAGAUGGGUGAGCAAAGCCAUGUACCACUAAUGGCGAAGUAUUGUGAGGGGUUUAAAGCUUGGGCUAUGAUGAGAUCAAAAUACACAUCUGUAACAUGAGCAAGAAUUGUUUUGAUUAAAGCUGAGGCUUUAAAUUAAUUUGCAUGGGAUCUAGAUGAACGACCUGUGUGAUCAAAGCAGAUUGCAUUGUAAAUAGGUUCACAGAGUGAUGCUGAGUGAACAGAGCUCAUUUCACAGGCUGAGACUGAACCUAAUCCUGACCUCCAGCAGAAGCGUGCAGGGUAUGAUGCAGGUGGUUUUUAUCUUCUGCUCAUCAGUCAGGAGCUUUGUAGCUUGCAGACAACUCAGUUCAGUUAUAUUUUUGCUUGGGGUUAGAGAUAGUGUAGAGACAACUGCAUGCUACACAAGAUAGAGACAUCUCAUGUGGUGUAGUACACACCUGGUAUGAGAGGACUGCUCUCAUACGUGAAGUGUCUGUCAUAAGUCAGUUAUAGCCGGAGUUAACAGUCAGAACUCAAACUUUAAUACCUGUAAAGCCCUUCCCUUCCUGGAGCCUGAAAGAUUUGUUAACAUAGUUCCAAUUGCACAUUUUCGGAAGCAUGGUGUUCAUUAUAUACAGGAAAAGAAUAAUUAGGAGUAUAGGUACUUUAAAGUCAGUGCCAGCAUUUUUUUUUAAUACUUCUCUAGCGGAAAUGAUUCCCACAAGUGGAAGCUUUGUUGAAAAGAUGUUCAAUCUUACUGCCAUGAGCUAGAUUUUAGGCUGGAGAUUCUGUUUAUCAGUAAAGAUGGUGGAAGCCUUCUGUCUGUACUGAAGGUAGAACUAACUUAGUCGAUCAGAUAUUAAUCAGAAAUGGUUUGGAAGCCUUCCCAGUGGAUGGCUUGAAGAAGCUGAAUGCAAGAUCUCUUCCAAAAUGCUGUCUAAAUCCUUUGUGUUUCCCAAAGAUCAACCAGUUUGGAUAUCAAGCUAUGUUAGACCUGUAUCACCUCUGCAAAAAUGAAGCCUUUCCAGGAGGCAAUUUGAAAUACUUGAAGAUCUCUAUAUUUCAAGGAUGGUUCUAACAACAACAAAAAAAUCUUUGCUGAAUUGUCCCUUAGUACAUUUGCAAUACAGUUCAUCUACCACCCUUCAGAACUGGCUUGCAAGCCAAAAAAUAAUUACUCUAAAUUCUGUGCAUGUUCCCAGCUGCAUAAAGAUGACAUUUCCUACAGCAGGGAAACAAACAGCUCUGUGGUACCUGAAAUUGAGAUUUAUCUUGCAUCAGUUGUGAGUUCCUAGAAAAUCUUGGAAGCAGCAUUUCACAUUAUCAAAUCCAGUUCCAGACUUUGUGGGCAACCACAUAACAGAAUUGUGGCAGAAUAAUCUGAAAAGGUGUUAGAGAGGUCGUGUGACGCAUCUAUCAGCCCCAAGGCAGGAUCAACUGUGUAUUAAUCCCGACAGAUAUUUUUUCAAUCUGUUCUGAGAGAUCUCCAAUGGUGGAGAUGCUCUCAGCUAAUCUAUUCUGCCUCCUCAUCCCUGCCACCGGAAAGAUUUUCUUCAUGCUUGCCCUAAAUCUUUCUCCUUGUAAUUAGUCAGGAAAACUGAGUAACUUAUCUGUCACAGGUAUGGAUAAAAGAUUAUAUUCCACUCCUUGCAUAUGAAGAUGUUGCAGUCCCCCAGUGAGCUGCCUUCUCUUUAGGGUACGCAGCUCUGAUGUUAAUCUUCCUUCAUGUCAUGUUUGGUGAAUCUCCCAUUAGCCUGGUUGCACUCCUGCUGCUCUCUCUGGUUAGUUUGGAUCAGGAGAAACACAAAAUAUCUUUCUCACCUGUCUAAAAAUAGAACGCAUAACCUGUUUUUGAUUCAAUAACAGUUAAAAACAUUUACUAUUUACUAUUUUACUUAAAGAACUGUUUUUAUGGAAAGACGUUUUUUCUCUGUAACUGGGAGAUUAGUAUUCCAUAAUAACAGAAGUAAUGCAGAAUAUCAGUUUGGAGACAGGUGUAUGAACGUACUGCAAUGGGUGUUCUGGAGCCAGCUUCAAAAAUAGCCGAUCUUACUGUUUUCUGCUUUGUCUUUGACCUUUUUUAACUGACAUUUACCUGCCUCCUUUCCUGUUCCUAAGCACCUUUCCCUGCUUGUCUUGUGAAUACCCAUUGUGUACAGUAACGAUUGCUAUUUUUUUGUGUGUUUCAAUUCUUUAUAACAAGUUCUAAAUCUCACAGCCAGUCUGCAGUGCUCCCUAGCUCUGGAAGAUGCUCAGUCCUCAUUUGCACACGCUCUGUGACAUGACAGCCUGUUUCAUGACAAAUGACAUGCAUUGCUGAUUGUGCCGCAUGGAACUUCUGCAGUGUCUUAUCUUCCUCCUGUAAUUAAAGCUUUCAUCUUAGUUACUGCCUUUUGUUUCUUUUGAACUGAUCAGGAGAGGAAUAGAAUCAAAUAAUAUUUGAAAUUACAAUCUCGGCUAAUACAAAACACAAAAAUGUGAGGUAGUAAUCACGUUAGAUCAGCGUUCAAAAGCUGGUAAGUAGGCAGGCCAAAUAAUCUGCACUCAUUUUGGAGCAACAACCUUAGGAUCCUGGGGAAGCAGGUAUUACACUGAGCAGCUUUGAGGAAAUGAGAUUCAGUUAAUCAAGGUGGGAGAAUGAAGCUGCAACAGGAGAACCUGGAACAAUUUGCUACUCACUCACAGCUGAGGAAUGCAUAUAUCCUAUCCUGCUAGAGAUAUAACUGGCUGUGAUAAAAUGUCAAUACAAAAAUUGAGAUUAAAGGAGACCGUUUGAUCCCUUAAGACCAAUCCAGGAGUUUCCACUAGCCCUCUGGCUCUUGCCUGGCAAGUAACACCAUAAGCCUGCUCUGGGCAUGGUAACAAACUGGAGAACUUUAGCACCAAAGUGGAAAAAAAAAUCAGAAGUGCCAGAGGGGAAGAAAGAAAUAUGAAGCUCUUGCUGAUGUCUUGAACUACUGAAUUAGCAGCAAAUUUUCUAGCUAAAAAGUCUGGCUGGUGCUAGGAAGCCAGUUGCUUUCCCAACUUCAAAGCACCCAUCAAGCAGACCAGUGAGGAUAAUUCCAGUCAGUUUAGCUCUCGGGUGUGUGAGUGAGACGUUCUGAGUGGAUUCCUGAAAGAUUAUUUCUUUUUUUUUUUUUCAUCUUGCAUUUGAGUGUCUGAGCGCUGGACAUUCUGAACAUUCUGGGGUUAAGGUGAGAAAAUACAUUUUGGAAAGGUCUUUAUGGAAAUUGCUUCUGUGACAGGGCCAGAAAUAAACUUUCCUGUGCUGCAAUUGCGGAAGGAAAUGACCACCUGAGUUAAAGCUGAAUGAAAUUUACCUUAUUACCUAAGCCAUGAUUAUUUUCUCAGCAACUUUGUUCUUCACGAUGUGUGCUUGGGGCUUCUAGAAAAGGUUGUCAUUUCUAAGUGUGACUUGAUCUUUCUCAGCAAAUUUCCUCUCAUCAUUGCGCUUGUGUAAAGGAGGUGCUACAAAGCAGUCAAGGCAGAGAAACUUCAUAAGGAGGUACUGGGCUCAGUCUUACACUUGCAAAGUGUGCUGCAUCCAUAUCACCCCUGGUUAGAACGCAUGCACGGGUGUGAAGGGGCUGAAGCUGUAAUGCUUUAGCCAAUUCUUGUAAGGUUUUGGAGCUUCUGAAGUUGCCAGGCUGGUUUUCUGAAGAGUUUGGUGUUCAGUGACAGUCUGUGUACCAUACUAAAUUCAACAGCAUGUUUUUUCCAUGUUGAAACAGUGCUACAGUCAUUCCUGAGGUCUUUGGAUUGUUUCAAUUAUUUAGUUUUGCAAAAGUAUCUUAUAGAUCUUUUUCCCUCUUUCAUAUUAUUAAGUUUCUUGCCAAACUUUGAUUUAAGCCACGGAAACAAAGAUGGAUCUUUCCUUUAUACAUCUGCAAAGUUAGAUUUACUUCUUUGUCCCAUUUGAGCAUGAUUGAAAACUAAUCCAUCUCCUUUUUAUUGGCUUUUGGUAAAGCAUGUAUUUCUUUGUUUCCCUUUUUCAUUCUGUGUUGUCUUGUGGAAAUAUGUAACUUCAGUUCAAGCUGUAAAGAAUUAUCCUUCUCCAGUAAGAACAAACUGACAACAACCCAUAGUCCAAUGCAAGAGAAGUUUUAUGCCUUUAAUUACCUUCUUGGACUGUAUUCAUGCAUGGUUCAAAUAAAAUGAACUAUGAGCAGUAAUAAAAGUAUUGUUCUCACCUCUGACCUUGUAGAGAAGAAUGCUGUAACCAGAAAGGUUUUUUUUGGCUCAACAUCAGUGACAACUAGUUGAAUUCCUCUCUUUGUAGCUGUCUUUUUACCAUAAAAAGCAUAUAGGGUGCUCCGACUGCAGUUAACUUCUUGUCCAAGGACAGAAUUUGGCUUGUGGACUGCUAACUCCAGAGCAUGAUGUUUUAAGUAACAUUGCGUUCUGCUUUAAAAUGGUACUAAUGCAUUUUCAGGUAUACGUUUCCAGCUUCUGCAAGGGUUGAUUACUUUUGUUUAUUAAUGCACUAAAGGGUAUAAAAUGUUGAGGGUAUUUUUGUUAUACUACCACAGCAAAGCUAGAAUUGCUAUUUAUUGAGGUGGUUAGUGCUUAUUGAGAUCAUUGCUCAAGUGGCUGAUGCUGUGGUCAUCCACAGCGUUUUAUAUAUAUAUAUAUAUAUAUAUAUAGUUCCUCUUUGUUCCUAAAGAGCUGAAUGAGUAUGAGAAUUACAUCCAGGGAUAUUGAUCCUAGGACUGGUUUUGAUAGAAGCUGCUGACUCACUGCAGCAGCCUGAAAUUGAUCACCAUGUCCUUCGUUCUGGUGGGUAGCAUCUCUGUGGCAUCCCUGACCCUCUGCAGCAGAGCUGGUUCUUCAGACAUGGUCCCACACGUAGUGCUGCUGUUCACAAAAGGCUUGCAGAGCUGCAGAUGGGGAAUACCAAUAAAAUCUGCACAUGUAUUACAUUCAGUAAUUAAAUUUACCGUGGUGUUUUGCUCCAAUUUUUUUAUUCAGUGUGGCAACUGUCUGUAUUUUAAUGGCUUCUACUAUGUCAGAGUAUAAAUACCCACUUAAGUCAUUUUUCUGCUAGUGCUCGGGGAUGAAAUACCUCCUUAGUGGUGUGCGAGGGCAGCUUCAGGCACCCUGUAAGGGAUACGUACUUUAUAGAGUUUAAAGCACAUUAUUGCUGUUGCAAACAGAAGUGCUAGCCUGGUUGCAUCCUUGCUGUGAAAGAAGAAGAAGGGCCUGGUUAGAGUAGUUUAAAAUAAUCCUAAACCUGUGUUAGCUUCUGUGACAAAGCCAGGCUGUGGAAGGGCCACGUGUGGCGUAAAGUCGGGUUCUGUACUGCUGAAUUCCUGGGUAGAGAAACAGUGCAAAGCUAAUAGUAUUUAAUUUUAAUUUUAUUGCCAAAUAUACAGAAUUACAUUAAAAACAACAGUAUCACAAACAAUGUAGAACAAGUGAUGCUAAAUUUAACUGCUGUUGAACCUGCCAGUUUGUGAUAUAAAAUCUUCAAAAGACCUGUGCUUCGCAGUAGUUUGGAUAUGGUUGUUGAGUUCUUAGUCUGUAUUUUUGGAUUGAAAGUGUUGGAUGCAUAUUUUCAUUGAUGUGUCUGUUCAUUCUUUAGACAUAUUUUAUUCUGGUGCUCUUGAUAUUCAGUAAUGCAGCUAUGGUGCUAAAUAAAUGUGCUGUUCUUUUUUUAAUAUGGGCUUUGAAAUUCCAAUUUAAUAAUAUUUAUUUACUACUUCCAUGUUACCUAUGAAACAGUUUAUUUUGUUGCAUUAGUUACAGUUCUGGUUACCUGCAGCACUGCACUUCAGCCAUCCCUUGCCUAAGCAGCCCACUUAUGAAAACACUCCAAAACCAACAAAAGGCUCCCAUUGAAAAGCCACCUGUUUAAAACAGGCAUAUAGAUGUAGAAGGCUGCAUAAUGUAGAAUAAUGAUGUAGAAUAGCUACGUGACAUAAUUUCGAAGAGCUGAAAAAUAUUUCAAGUCUUAGAUGCACUUUUUCAAAUGAAAAGUUGGGCUCAGAAAGCGUUUAUGACAAAGUUCAGCAUCCGGAGUUAGUGCAUGAGGAGGGAUUUGACUAUGGGGAAGUUCCAACUUUGUGAAAUGAAAGACUAAGGAAAUAAAAAGAUGAUAAAAAAGGAACUGGUCAGAAAUGGAUGGCAGAAUAUAAAUAUUAAAAUUACAAAAAGAAUGUGUAUGAAUUAAAGCUACAAAGGGUAUUCAGUACCUUACAGGCUUCAACAGAAAUGAAAGUAUUUGAGAAACAAAAAAUUCCCUGGUCAGAGGUGUGAUCUGUCCUCAGAAUGCGGCUGUAAUUCAGAUGGACUGCACUGGGAAUGUACACAAGGCAUUGAGAUCUGUAUUUAUUGUGGAUUAAGCGUUAGCAUUUGUGUUUUUAGUGUGUGUAGUUAUGUGCGUCUGUACAUUGAUAGAAAGGAAUUUAAUGUGAAAUGAGCUUUGCUUCUUUAAAGCAAUAUGGCUACCUCUCGAUCUCAGUGAUGGGUGAAACUCAGUCCUACUCUCUGUGUUUCCAUGUACGUGCCCUGUAGUCAGACCACCAGCACACUGACCUACGUGGCUUGGAAUUGCCUUGACUUUCUGAUUUGAUGAAUUGAAAAACAUGGCACUGUAGUAAAAAUUAAUACAAAUAAUGGCUGAUACAGAAAGAGUAAAUAAAGAAAAUGAAUGCAGCCAGAUAUAGCAGGUCUUUGAUCAUAGAUUACAAAGAUAUUUCACUGCAUGAAAGUGUAAUUAUAUCUUUGAAGAGUUUGUAGCACAAAAGUUCAUGUACAUCACAAAGCAUAAAGGGUAGGGGAGGGUAAAGGAUUAAGAAAGCAGAAGAUAAGACUUUGUGCAUCGUUAAUGAAAGAUGAGGAAUAGAAAGACAAAUGAAAAAUAUCAUUCAUUGCAGUGAAGGCUUUGAUUCUUUAUUUUACUGUGUGUUGGCUUAGCACAAUGUGAGGAUCUAAAGACGUAAAGGAGAACAAAGGCACAAAUCCACUAUGUGUGUAUCAUGAAGUAUGAGGAAAUGGGGUAACUGUUUCCAAAGGGAGAAACAGCCAAGAAGAACCUGUUAAAACACAAAAUGCCUACAAAGUGAACUGCAGAUCAAACAGACCUAAAAUCUGAUUGUGCUAUGAGAAAGCAAAUAACAGUAACAGUGAUAGUUUCUGUUACAAGGCUGUUUUUUUUCUUUUUCCCAGUAGAAAGCCAAAGGGGGGCCAAUUUACCAUGACCAGCUGGUAUGGGAAGUCACCCAGAGCAGUGUUUGACCACAUAUCUGUGAGGAAGACGGGUGUUCGGGGCAGAAUGUCUGUUGGAGAGGGGGAGCUCAUGGUCCCUGUUUUUAGGGGAUGCCGAGGUGCGGCACUGUGGUGCAGUGUGAGCUGGGCUUCAUUUUGGAACUGAGGUUGCAUCCAGCCCCGAUGCUCCCAUGGCACUGCUCCAAGGCCUGGGUUUUCCUUAUUCCCACAGUACUGCACAGCAAGUUCCUAGACAUAGUUACCUAGCCUUGUUUUUAUUUCUGCUUCCUUUAGGAUUGACAGAAGAACAACAACAACAAAAAAAAAGUAGGUCUGUCUCCUGCUUUCAUUAGUUCAGUAUACUGCAAACCCAUUGCUUCGGUUGUCUUAAAUAGUACUACAUUACAGAGGUCAUGCCCAGAUGAUUGCUUAGCAGUGAUAAUGAGCUUCACGACCCUAUGCUACAUGCUACCUUAAAAAUAUGUGCACUUUUCAGUUUUCCCACAGCAGGUAUUUCCCUCUCUCUAGGGCUAACUCUGUAAAAACAAAGAUUUGAAGAAUUUUGUCUCCUGUUUAGUACCAUCUCUGACCUCUUCUCUGAAGAGAUUUACUGUUCCUGUUUGUACCGAGCAACAUGAAAAGUAGCCCUUUUAUUAUUAAAAUCUAUUGUCAUCGAUAGGAUCAAUAGAAUUAAUGUAAAAUGAAUGUAAAAUGCUUGGUGAAGGUUGUAGAGUCUGUAAAGCACGCAUAAAGUGGGUGUCCCAAGACCCCUCUGAUUGUUCAAGGCAUGAGGGAGGGCCUUGCUGCCAGCUCUAUUAGAAUCUGGGGAUGCUCUAAGACAGUGUUGAGCUGAGGCCUGGCCCAGAUCAUCAGCUCAUGCAAGGCUGGAGAGAUUGCCAUUGGGUUGUGUAAGAUGGAGUCUGUGUAAGUGGCUUUGCACCAGUGAACAGUGAAAAAGAAGAUGGGAGGGAUGUUUGUGCACAGGGUGUUCUGUCUGGUGGGUGCCCACUGCUAGCUGAAUACAUCAGUGUGAGGGUUUUGCUUUUUAACCUCUCAGUGCAGGCUAGGAUGUGGCAGUCAACUGGCUGCUCUUUUUAGAGGAUGCCUUGCCUGGCUGUAGCUGUAAGUAAACACCAGGGGGCUUGAGCCUCCAGAACAGGCAGCAGCCUUUAUUACGUUCUGCUUUUAGCAUCUAGCACCUGGAAAUGUAAGUCCAUAGUGAUGUAAGCUAUUCUAUAUCACUGUUAGGAGUUUUGGGAAUACAUACGGCUCAGCUGUAGACAUUGAAUUAAAGGAGUUGUGAAAUGCCAUCUGCCUGCUUGUGUUAUGUUUUCUAAAACUGCAAACAGCUCAUACUCGUUUCUUCUCAGGUUUCUCUCUUUGUUUGUGGGUCCUUUUUUCUUCUUUCUUCUUCUUCCAGCUGCUUUUGAAACUCAGUUUGCAUGCUUUUGCUUUCAGCUUUGCUCUUGGUUCUAUCUAAAAGCAAACUUUAAAUGUAUGUGGACAAGAUACUGCCUUCUGUUUCAUCCAGUGUACUUUAAUGUACACAUUUUACAUAUUCUAUUUAAAAAUCUAUGCAAAAAGUGAGAUGCAUGAACAUAAAUUAGUUUCCUGUGUACAGGAUUUUUUUGUAAGUUGCAUAGAUGCUACACUGCAUCAGCGCAUAUGUUUUGUGAAUUAGAAAGUAUACUUUCUGUGAUGAUCUCCCAUCUGCUGCUACCUCUGAUAAAUUUAAUGCUGGCUCCUGAAUACUGAAACACGGAGGUGCUUUACUCUGGCACGUGCCUG
rnacentral:lncRNA from 1 species